ensembl:lncRNA
AUCUCCUCCAUGUGGCCUUCAAGCAGAUUAGAUAUAUGUCACCUCAUGUUCCUCCCCUCUCCCAGCACAUGGUGACUGCUCUGGGAUCUCAGGAUCCCUCCCUGUUCCAAGGAGCCAAACACCUUAGGGUAGAGCUAGGAGAGAAGACAAUGGGAUGUGACAGCUCAAAUGAUCCUGGAAACAUAAGUAAAUAUAUAGCAACAAGAUUGUGGAGAAGAAUCUUGGUUCAAAUAUGGAGUCGUUCCCUACCCAAAGCAAGUUUUUUAAUGUCUUGUUGAGAUAUCGGUCUCGUUCAGCUGAUGAGGACUGUAGGAAAGGCUUAGACCAUGCUGUGGAGAAUGUGAGCUCUUCAGUUACCAAGCACCAUUCACGACAAUGCUUCUCCUCAAGACCAUCUGUGACAAACUUACAGAGGCUGCAGAAGCAGAGGCCAUGGAAAAAAGCAGAGGAUCAGGCCAAACUUCAGCUGUAAAUGUGAACAAGUGAGUAGCAGGGCUCGUACCCAAAGAAAAGAGCUACAUCAGGAAAAUGGUUCUAUGCCCAGGAGGAUCAAUCAAUGGUUCUACGUCCAGGUGGAGGCCAGGUGUCCCCCAGGGGACUGUCUUGAGACCGGUGCUCUUCAACAUCUUUAUCAAUGACAUCAAUGAUGGAGCGCACGCUUGCUGCUGAUGAGCCUAGUGGGACCCAUGCCAAUGAAUUCUGGCACCAACAGCUGGAGGAAGGGACAAAGAUCCAGGGUGUGCAGAUUUCUGGGGACUUAGCUUAUGGGAGUUGAGAAGAAGGCUGCUGAUCAGGUGAGGAACCUUUGCUAUGGAGCAUGCUGUCUUGCACUGCCCAGGCCAUACUCCCAUCAUCAUCCCAGAGGUAGUGGCAAUACCACUGAGAAAGGGGACAUGGUGCCCUUCAGCAGUGAACCUGCAAGGAGUGGGUCUGAGGAGCAUGGGACAGAGCUCUCCCUGUGCAGCCAUCCCCAUUGUACAAGGAGGAAGGUCGGCCUUACUUGCUGUUAUCUUAUCUAUGGCUAUACUGCUUUAAAAGCUAAUAUGUCUUCACUCUUCUGAAGGCAUGGUAUUUAUCUGCUGAUACUUACUUGCUGAGCUCUUGUGUCUGGUUCCAGUAAGGCCAGAGUUGUUUUCUAGGGCUUCUAAGCUCUUGUCCUGCAGCUCAGUUGGCUACUAGUUUCUGUUGCAUUAACCACAAAAAAUAAAGAUCACAAUAAUUAAAAAUUCAAUGAAACAGAUGGUGCCAUUGGCUGGGAAAUGGUAUUUUUACUUUUUGAUCCACAGAUAGGACCGGGGAGCAGAAAAGCAGUCAGAUCGCAUGGAAACUCAAUGAGAAAUGCUUACUUGCUGAGACUCCCUUCUGGAUUUUUCUGAGAUCUUUGCAGCAGUGUGUCCAUAGACAGGAGGCAAAAAACCUCCACAUUGGCACCAUUACAAAUAAGGAAGUGCUGCAUUCAUCUUAGAAAUUUCUGUGCGGCUCUGCUGUGGUAUCUAACCACCACCAGUUGUUUAUGGAAGAGUACAUGGAAGGGGCAGUAAGAAAUGAUUCAGUCUUUCAGACUUGGAGUAAAUAUUUUGGACCUGUAAAUAUUCAUCCUGCUGCAGAAAAAUGGAUAUUAAAUGCCCUGCAGCUGUGACAGACAGACGCAGGAUGUUUAGAAGGGAUGAUAGUAGGGGAAAGCAUUGAGCUUGCAAAACAGCUUUUAGAGAGAAUCUCUGCUGUGUUUUUACGCAAUAUAUUUUUCAAAAAACUGGACAGAACACUCAUAAAACAUGGUAUACUCUUAUCACCAAAAUCUGCCUCAGAGCCUAAAGCAUCUGACGAGCAAGGAACUCUGGAGCCUCAGGAGAAACCUUUUGGAGACCAUCCCCAAAUAUCCAAACACUGUGGAUAUUGGCGUUGCCAUAGUUUUGGUUAUGAAUCAGCUUGAUUUGGAAUGCUCAGCAGGCCACUGUGUCCUGUUGAGCAGUAAUUUCUCUUCUGUAUUCAUAUGCAUCAUACACAUUUUUUAUUCCAUAAAACACAUAAACAAACAUUCACUCAGGCUUUGCUGAAGCAUCUAUACCCAAAGUUUAUAGAUGCUUUAACAAACCAUUGCCUCUGGACUAAUUCUGCCUCCAUUUAAUUUAGUGGGAGUUUCAUCUCUGCAAUCUGUGCGAGAAUUAAAAUAAAUGCCUUAGAAACACCCAUUCUGAACUGUAACUUUCUCUCUUUGUAAUGUUUGGAGUCCCACUCCAUGCCUGCAUGAAUUGCUAGUAGAUUUUGUCUAACAAGAAAGAAAUAAACAAAUCUGUAAUAUU